CUCAACCUGUGUCUUAUACUGUUUUUAGUCCUUAAUAUUCAGUUUCCAGGGUGGACUACAUUGGUCGUCUCGUUUAAGCCCAACUAAUUUUCUGUUGAAUGUUUGGGCCCUCUGUCCGAUGAUACAGGUGCAUGACAUGGCUCAUGCAAAGCCGCAACACCGAUUUGGUUAGGCCUAUGAAUCGUUUUUAGCAUGUCCCAUGUAUAUAAUCAACAAGUGGGCAUGAUCUUAUGGAUAUUCUUAGAAACUGGAGCAACUGAAUUAUCAUUAAACAGUGUCUAGUUUUUACAUUUUUUAUGUUUUUUUAAGGAAGAAAUCAUUAUCGUCAUUCAUCAACUCAACUCUUUCUGGUUAAGAUUAACCAAAACAUGCUAUCUGUUCUUUGUUCUACCACUUGUCUUUGUUAUUAUUUGUUAAUGUUAUCUUUCUUUGUUACUAUAGUUUCGUUACGGAUCGACCACUACCGCCCUUUCGAUUCAAAUCUUUGAGUUUUUUUAGUGCGGCAGUCUUCAACCUUGAUAUCAUGAAUAUUAUCGUCACUACAUCUUCAAUGGAGUUAGAGUUUUGGUAUGUCUAAAUCUUUAAAUUUCACUUUCAAUGAUCCACAUUAAAAUAC
rnacentral:lncRNA from 1 species